rnacentral:rRNA from 1 species
UACAGGGGUGCAAGCGUUACUCGGAUUUACUGGGCGUAAAGCGUGCGCAGACGGCUGGAUAAGUUGGACGUGAAAGCCUGGGGCUCAACUCCAGAAAUGCGUUCAAAACUGUCCGGAUAGAGUAUGGGAGAGGGAAGUGGAAUUCCUGGUGUAGAGGUGAAAUUCGUAGAUAUCGGGAGGAACACCGGCGGCGAAGGCGGCUUCCUGGCCCAUUACUGACGUUCAGGCACGAAAGCGUGGGGAGC